UGCACUGGGUGGUAUCUGUAUCCAGAAGCAUUUUCCUAAUGGGAUGUUCAUAAAACAGUGCUACAGUAGUUCAGUGUCUGGCAUCAGUUUUCAUUCUGCUAUGUCUGUUAAACUUGGUAUUUCUGCUGAUACAGUC